UUCUAAAAAGAUUUGCCAUUAAGAAAUUAAUAUGUGUUGUUAAUAUGAAUAAUUCAUGCUUUACAUACGUUUUAGUUAAAAGGAAAAUAUCGCUAAAAUGUAUUUCCUGUUCUGGCGGGGCACUUCCGGUUCCGGUCGAGCACUUCCGGUUUUGGUCAAGCGCUCGGUUUUGCUGAGAAACAGGCUCCUCAUGCUAAAGGCAGUAUGGAGAUGUAAUCUAAUGCCAUCUACUCCGAAUUAUCAGGCCGGAACGCCUUUUCACCACAUGUUCAUGGAGACAAUUAAACAAGCUGCAACUAAACUCCAGGGUCUUCAUUUGUGGUUUAACUCUGUGUCACCAACAUCCUCGUUGAAAACACUAUAGUGAAAAGGCGGCUACUGGUGAUUCAUCACGGUCAAAAUGGCAUCCAGUAACAAGUCUGCACGCAGUUUAAGGACCAGCCGCUCAUCUGGAUCAGCAGUAAGCGCUGCCCAUGCUCGAGCUAAAGCAGAGGCUGCCAAGGUGAGAGCAUGCUAUGCAACAAAAGAAGCACAGUUAAAGGUUGAAAAAGCUCAAAGCGAACUGGAAAAGGCAAAAAUAGAUGCAGAAUUAGAAGUGUUAACAUUACAGAGGGAAGCUGAUGCUGCUGUAGCUGAAGCUAUACAAGAAGAACCUGAGAGUAGAAAAUCUCCAUCAGAAAGCGUAAAAUUAGAACGUACAAAUGAAUAUGUACGAUCUCAAAUGGACACCAAGCUAUCUCCCAGUCCACAAAAAUUACCAACCACUUCUUGCCCCCAAGCAAGUUCACCGAACACAUUUGUAACGUGGCAUCCCUCUGAAGAAGGCAAUUUAGAGCCACAACCCAUCAACUCUGAAACAAGACUUACCAAAGAUAAUAUCGCUGCUCUAAAUAAGCCCAGCCAGCUGAAAGGUGAAACAAAACCUAAAGUGGAGAAACAAAAUAUCCCUCUCAACCCAUGCGGCUCACCAUUCAUACCUCAGCAUAACUAUAACACCACGGCCAGCAUUUUAAAUCCAGCAGAACCCUUUGCCCAAUACAUGGCACGUCGAGAUUUAAUAAUCUCAGGCCUUUACCAGUUCGACGAUAGGCCAGAGAACUACAGAGCAUGGUGCUCUUCAUUUACCAGUGCGACAGCUGAAGUCCAACUCACCCCCAUUCAAGAGCUAGAUCUCAUGACAAAGUGGUUAGGGAGAGAGUCGAGUGAUCAGGUGAAACGCAUACGUUCAGUAUAUGUCAACAACCCCACAUUAGCUCUAUGCAAAGCAUGGGAAAGACUGAAUGAAUGUUAUGCAGCAUCAGAAAUAAUCGAAAGGUCACUUUUCCAACGGUUGGACAGUUUCCCCAAAAUAACAGUCAAAGAUCAUGUCAAGCUACGUGAACUAGGAGAUUUACUGCAAGAGAUUCAAGGCGCUAAGGAAGACGGCCAUCUGCCUGGUCUACUCUAUCUGGACACUUCUCGUGGAAUCAGCCCAAUCGUAGACAAACUCCCAUAUGGACUUCAGGAGAGGUGGAUGUCACACGGCUCUCAAUAUAAAGAGAACAACCAAGGCUGUUUCCCACCUUUUGAGUACUUCUGUGAAUUCAUAUGUAAAGAGGCAAAGAAACGCAAUGAUCCAAGUUUCCAACAGCAAAACUUAAAACCAGAAAAAUCUUUUGCAAAAAACUUAAAUUCCAGCAAGCCAAUUACUGUACACAAAACCUAUAUUUCUCCCCCUAACAAGGACUUUAACCGGAACUGCCCACUGCAUAACAAGCCACACCCGCUCAAAAGAUGCAGAACAUUUAGGAAUAAAGCACUGGACGAAAGGAAGGCCUUCCUCAAAGAGAAAGGAUUAUGCUUCAGAUGCUGUUCUUCAGAUACUCAUCUUGCGAAGGAAUGCAAAUCUUCAGUAAAGUGUUCUGAAUGUGACAGCACAAGUCACGACGCAGUCAUGCAUCCCGGUCCUCCACCACAGACCAACAAGGCUCCACCUCCGGCACAAGAGAAUGGCGGGGAGAGAGAAAACAGUCAUGACACGGUUGAUGUCACAACAAGCUGCACAGACGUGUGCGGUUCAGGUCAGUGGGGACGUUCAUGUUCCAAGAUAUGUCUCACAUGGGUGUACCCUAAAGGUUACAAGGACAGAGCUGUCAAGGCAUAUGUAAUACUAGACGAUCAGAGCAAUCGUUCUUUAGCCAAGCCUGAGUUCUUCGAACUUUUUGAUAGGGCUGCUCAAUUAAUCGAAUUUUAAUCACGAUUACGAUCUGGGCUUUCAACGAUCAUUAAAAAUGACUGAGCCGAUUAUUAGCCCCUCCCUCAUUUAUCCGCGACACCUUAAAGGCCGGUCCGUGAAAAUAUUGUCGGGCAUAAACCGGUCCGUGGCGCAAAAAAGGGUGGAGACCGCUGAUUAAGAGGACCCGAGGGAAGCUCGGAAAGCUAAGCAGAAGUUAUUUGGAGAGUGACUGCCGUUGGUUGAAAAGAGUUAAAAAAAAAAAAAACUUCAGUGGUGUUGCACACUAUUUUAUAUUAUUUUUUUUAAAGUCCUUGUUAACCCUUUAAAGCCGGUCAGAGCAGCACGCUCCGUUUUGCGUAACUAUUUUUAAAUCCCUGUAGAACCUGAACCGUGUAAGCUAGCGCAAUAAUUUGUUUUGCAUAUGAAACCGGAGGAGUUGUACUUACAUCUGAUGCCAUCAGCUUGUCCUCGGUCACGGUUUCGUUCCACAUAUAGCUUUGCAAAAACUGCAUAAAAAGCGCUUGCAGGAACAAAAACAUAAUCGACGAUCGAGUAAGGAAAAUUGAGGUAAAGACAUGCAAUCAAGGGUGCAUAAAGACAUUUAUGCGACCAGUUACAGAAGUUAUCCUCCUCAUGCCAAAGGACUGAAUGCAUAAUGUUUGUUUAGCAUAGUGGCCUCCCGAGGCCAGGCGGGGAGUGUGUUGCCCUUAAGGCAUUUCUCUGAAUAAAUAGGUUCAUAAGUUUGAAAUAAAUAAUUCUAAAAAGAUUUGCCAUUAAGAAAUUAAUAUGUGUUGUUAAUAUGAAUAAUUCAUGCUUUACAUACGUUUUAGUUAAAAGGAAAAUAUCGCUAAAAUGUAUUUCCUGUUCUGGCGGGGCACUUCCGGUUCCGGUCGAGCACUUCCGGUUUUGGUCAAGCGCUAGGUUUUGCUGAGAAACAGGCUCCUCAUGCUAAAGGCAGUAUGGAGAUGUAAUCUAAUGCCAUCUACUCCGAAUUAUCAGGCCGGAACGCCUUUUCACCACAUGUUCAUGGAGACAAUUAAACAAGCUGCAACUAAACUCCAGGGUCUUCAUUUGUGGUUUAACUCGGUGUCACCAACAUCCUCGUUGAAAACACUACAGACUCUAUGUGGGGAUGUGACUCUAAAGCAGGUGUCAUUUUAAUAACAUGUGUUAGAAUGCAUGCAAAAAGACAAGACAGUGCUAAAGCGGCUGUGAUCAGAUGUGAGUCCUAGUGGCUAAUGGCUAAUGCUUCUUUAUGAAGUAGAGGUGUCUGAGGAGGAUGCUUGCCUUAUGAAGCUCUCUUAUAUGAAGACCACACCAUCUUUGUGCUGUGUGGCUCAGACGACCGGGCCAUAGACCUCACUAGGUGUUAGCAGCCUGGAUUUCUGUUUAUUAUAUUUGGAAAUAAGAGCUUCAUUUUGAUUUAAUGUGAUUCCCCAUAUAUUUCAUAAAGCCUGAUGUGCUGGUGGAGUUUUGUUGGACGUGGAGAAAUACACAGGGCUGAUAUGCAGGGAAUCAUUUUCAAAAGUAGAUAUUGCCAGGUCAGUUGAUGUUGUCGAAAUUUGUUCCAGAAGCUUGUUCUCCAGGAGAUUUGGUAGCUUUAAUGCGUUCAAUGAUAUAUGAUUUACAGAGGUUUUAAGAAGCCUAUGUCAAAAAAUCUCUAGAAUACUGUGAGAAUGACUAUGCCACUUCUCAUAAGCGCUAUAUGAUUCUUCCCCGGAAUAUAAUAUGUUAAUCUUUUAUUCAUAAAGUUUUGUUUUUUGAAUAAGGAGAGCAAUGCACAUCAUAAUUUAACAUGAAUAUCUUUAUUAAUUUCUUACAUACCAUGUACUGUUUGAUUCUUUGUACUUUUGUUUCAUAUGUUGUUUGUUUAAUUUAAGACUAAAAAAAAAAAAAUUAAAUGAAUGAGAGGUAAAACUUGAGGGGGUAGGGACAAAUAAGUAAAUACUUCUGCCUACUCCUUUUCAAACAAAUAAUGGAAUGAUAUUUUGUAAUGAUUGUGAAGGCACAUGUUUGAAAUGUUUGAAAUAAAAAUGAACUGAACUGAACUGAAUUCUGUCAGAUCAAAAUAAUUUACAAAACUGAAAAAAAGCAAAUACCUGUAAAUACAAGACUGUUAGAUUUUUGUUAAGUAAGAUACUGAGUUUCAU
ensembl:lncRNA